rnacentral:rRNA from 1 species
AACGAACGCUAGCGGCAUGCCUAACACAUGCAAGUCGAACGAGACCUUCGGGUCUAGUGGCGCACGGGUGCGUAACGCGUGGGAACCUGCCCUUAGGUUCGGAAUAACUCCCCGAAAGGGGUGCUAAUACCGGAUAAUGUCUUCGGACCAAAGAUUUAUCGCCUUUGGAUGGGCCCGCGUUGGAUUAGCUAGUUGGUAGGGUAAAAGCCUACCAAGGCGACGAUCCAUAGCUGGUCUGAGAGGAUGAUCAGCCACACUGGGACUGAGACACGGCCCAGACUCCUACGGGAGGCAGCAGUGGGGAAUAUUGGACAAUGGGCGAAAGCCUGAUCCAGCAAGGCCGCGUGAGUGAUGAAGGCCUUAGGGUUGUAAAGCUCUUUUACCCGGGAUGAUAAUGACAGUACCGGGAGAAUAAGCUCCGGCUAACUCCGUG